UUUUUUUUCGUCCCACUCUGUAUAGAAAACUGCCCACGUUUUUCUAACUGCAAAACUUGUGUAGAAACUUCUCCCUCCACUUCUCCACUUACCCUUAUUAGCUUCUUUGUUGUAUAAACACAUUCAUCACUCCACUGACACAGAAACCUCUUUUUUUCUGCAACAAUGGAGCAAAUCGAAAAAUCAGAAGCAAUCUCAUGUUGGAGAUGACUGCAAUAUUGAAGAUCAAGGAGACAAGUAAUCCUCCUAUUUGCUUGAUCGGAGGGAGGGAAAAAAACAUGAAUGUCUAACUUGGGGAAUUGACAGCAAACGGGUUUUGAGGUGUUGAAUAGCUCUUCAGUCUUGCGAAAUCGUUGGUGGCAUAAAAAAAUCUCUGCUAGACCGCAAGGCUGGGACGCGCCGCCGCUGACAAGAAGAGGAGUUCAUUGUGACGGUGACGAAGAACAAGAAUCGAAGAAGCUAAAAAAUGAUGAUGGUGUUUGUAAUAAUGAUGAUAUAUAAGAGCUCCAAGUAAUCUGGCUGGCUUAGAUCUGUUUAGCUAUGGAACCAAUCCCUAAUCUGCGGAAAGAGGUAAUUUAAUUUCACAGAUUAUCAUUUCAUUUUUAUUUUUGCAAAUUUAUUUCAUUUUGAUAUGUGGGAUUUGUUAACUCGGACAAAAAAAAACUACAAUCUUUGUCGG